AUACGGAGGGAGCAAGCGUUAUUCGGAAUCACUGGGCGUAAAGGACGCGUAGGCGGGUUUGUAAGUCAGGUGUGAAAUCCUACAGCUCAACUGUAGAACUGCACUUGAAACUACAGACCUAGAGUAUGGAAGGGGCAGAUGGAAUUAGUGGUGUAGGGGUAAAAUCCGUAGAUAUUACUAGGAAUACCGAAAGCGAAGGCGAUCUGCUGGGACAUUACUGACGCUGAGGCGUGAAAGCGUGGGGAGCAAACAGGAUUAGAAACCCGAGUGGUCC
rnacentral:rRNA from 1 species